UACGUAGGGGGCAAGCGUUGUCCGGAAUCAUUGGGCGUAAAGAGCGCGUAGGCGGCCCUGUAAGUCCGCUGUGAAAGUCAAGGGCUCAACCCUUGAAUGCCGGUGGAUACUGCAGGGCUAGAGUCCGGAAGAGGCGAGUGGAAUUCCUGGUGUAGCGGUGAAAUGCGUAGAUAUCGGGAGGAACACCUGUGGCGAAAGCGGCUCACUGGACCACAACUGACGCUGAGGCGCGAAAGCUAGGGAGCAAACAGG
rnacentral:rRNA from 1 species